rnacentral:rRNA from 1 species
CGGCACGGGUGAGUAACGCGUAUCCAACCUGCCGUCUACUCUUGGACAGCCUUCUGAAAGGAAGAUUAAUACAAGAUGGCAUCAUGAGUCCGCAUGUUCACAUGAUUAAAGGUAUUCCGGUAGACGAUGGGGAUGCGUUCCAUUAGAUAGUAGGCGGGGUAACGGCCCACCUAGUCUUCGAUGGAUAGGGGUUCUGAGAGGAAGGUCCCCCACAUUGGAACUGAGACACGGUCCAA